rnacentral:rRNA from 1 species
GACGAACGCUGGCGGCGUGCCUAAUACAUGCAAGUAGAACGCUGAAGCUUGGUGCUUGCACCGAGCGGAUGAGUUGCGAACGGGUGAGUAACGCGUAGGUAACCUGCCUGGUAGCGGGGGAUAACUAUUGGAAACGAUAGCUAAUACCGCAUAAGAGUAGAUGUUGCAUGACAUUUGCUUAAAAGGUGCAAUUGCAUCACUACCAGAUGGACCUGCGUUGUAUUAGCUAGUUGGUGAGGUAACGGCUCACCAAGGCAACGAUACAUAGCCGACCUGAGAGGGUGAUCGGCCACACUGGGACUGAGACACGGCCCAGACUCCUACGGGAGGCAGCAGUAGGGAAUCUUCGGCAAUAGACGGAAGUCUGACCGAGCAACGCCGCGUGAGUGAAGAAGGUUUUCGGAUCGUAAAGCUCUGUUGUAAGAGAAGAACGAGUGUGAGAGUGGAAAGUUCACACUGUGACGGUAUCCUACCAGAAAGGGACGGCUAACUACGUG